CUUGGUAGGCUUAACUGCUUGAGAGAAUUAACUACCGGUGGUUUCUCAGAAGAGCUGCAAGAAUUCCCAUGGCCCAGUUCCAUUCAAUAUCUCAGUGCCUCCAUUCUAUAUCUAAAACUGAUUGGUUGGGAAAAGCUAAAGAGUCUUCCUCACAAACUUCAGUUCUUCACUGCCCUCGAAGAAUGAAGAUAGAAAGGUUUAAAGGAACAGAAGCCUUUCCCGAGUGGUUGGGAAAUCUCUCUUCUCUAAAGCGUCUAUGUUUGCAUGGUUUUUAUUGGAAAUCAUCUAUAUUUAUGGAAAGUCAAAGAUAUGGGUAUCAAAUAAAGUUAAAGAUAUGUGUAUCAAAUAUCGGAAAGUCAAAGAUAUGGGUAUCGAGAUAUUGGCAUAAGAAAUCUGAGAUAUUUGCAAUAUUUGGUCCCUAAUUGUAAAGUGACUUUGCAAGUUGAUCCCUGAACCUCAACUAUAAAUAGGCAUAAUCAUCUCUCAUUCUGUAUCCCAUAUUUUCCAUUCUCUACUUAAGGCAUUGUUAUCUCUCUCUCUUUGUAAAUUCUCACUUAUAUUUUGGAGUGAAAUAUAUUUGGUAGUGCCCGAGAAUGUAGGCAAAAUUUGUUGAACCUCGUUAAAUACUUGUGUUCUUUAUAGUAUUAUUCUGCAUGAAUUGUGAGUGUGAUUGUAGUGAUUUAUUGUGCUAUUAAAUUACGAUUGAGGGAUAUUCUGGCUAAGAAAGACUUGGUACUUAAGCGAUCCUUGUGAUCCACCUCUCUUUCCUGGGAAUUGAACUUAGUGUGAUUUUUUAGUACAAUAAUUUUACUCUUUUACACGCUUCCGCACAACAAUUGGUAUCAGAGCUAGAUUCGUACUUGGGGAAUACAAUCGUUCACUGCACUGUUCACUUACAGUAGUUGGGAUUGAGGAGAAAAAUAGAAAAGGUAUCGUCAUCAGCAAAGACUACUGUGACCAAUGCAAAGUUUGAAGUAGAGAAAUUUGAUGGUACCAAUAAUUUUGGUAUGUGGCAAUGUGAGAUCCUGGAUGUCUUAUGUCAGCAAGAGCUGGAUAUAGCCCUUGAAGAAAAACCUGAAAAGAUGGAUGACAAGAAGUGGGCUAAGAUCAAUAGAUAGGCAUGUGGAACAAUUCGCCUAUGUUUGGCCAAAAAGCAGAAGUACUCUGUCAUGAGGGAGACAUCAGCGAAGAAGUUGUGGGAUACACUGGAAGAAAAGUUUCUAACAAAAAGUCUUAAAAAUAAGCUUUAUAUGAAAAAGAAACUUUAUCGAUUCACGUAUGCACCCGGUAUGUUAAUGAAUAACCAUGUGAACUCAUUCAAUAAAAUUUUAGUAGACUUGCUAAAUUUGGAUGAGAAAUUUGAAGAUGAAGACAAUGCAUUAUUGUUGUUGAAUUCUCUUCCUAAUGAAUAUGAUCAUCUUACCACCACAUUGCUUCAUGGGAAGGAUACGAUCACAUUUGAUGCAGUCUGUAGUGCGUUGUAUAGAUCUGAGACUCGAAAGAAAGAUAAAAAAGAUCACAGAGAUACAACUACAGAAGUCUUAACAGUAAGAGGUCGUUCGCACAACAACAAAUCUGGUAGAAGGAGUAAGUCUAAAGGGAUACCUGCCAAAGAUGAAUGUGCUUUUUGUCGUGAGAAAGGGCAUUGGAAAAAGAAUUGUCCUAAGUUACAAAAAGGUAAGGCUAUUUCUGAUGCAUGUGUAGCGGAGCAUGAUGAGGAGUCAGACUUUAGCUUGGUUGGCAUUGCAAUGACAUGUCAUACAGAUAGUGGAUUUUGGAUUCGGGAUGUACUUAUCAUAUAUGUCCUAAUAAGGACUGGUUUUCUAGUCUUAAAGAACUAGAAGGUGGAGUUUUUUUAUGGGCAAUGACAGCGCUUGUAAGAUAAUGGUAGUAGGUACAAUCCAAUUGAAGAAUCACGACAACUGAAUUCAAGUCUUGACAGAUGUUCGCUACAUACCUAGCUUGAAGAAAAAUGUCAUCUCAUUAGGGGUCCUAGAAUCUAAAUGGCUCACAAUCACUUUGAGAGAUGGAUUACUAAAGGUAGUAACUGGGGUAUUGAUAGUGAUGAAAGGCACAAUAAGGAAUAAUCUGUACUAUUUAAAUGGAAGUACAGUUAUUGGAUCAACAUCAACAGCUUCUGCGAAAGAUGCAGAUUCAGAGGCUACUAGGUUAUGGCAUAUGCGAUUGGGACAUGCUGGUGAAAAAGCUUUGCAGAGUUUGACGAAGCAAGGCUUGUUGAAAGGUGAAAAUUCUUGCAAAUUGGAAUUCUGUGAAUAUUGUGUUCUGGGCAAGCAGACGAGGAUAAAAUUUGGUUCAGCAAUUCACAAUACAAAAGGAAUUCUGGAUUAUGUUCAUAGUGAUGUAUGGGGACCUACUAAAGUGGCUUCUUAAGGAGGUAUGCACUAUUUUGUUACUUUUGUUGAUGAUUAUUCAAGAAAAGUAUGGGUGUAUCUAAUGAAAAGAAAAAAUGAAGUUUUGGAUGUAUUUCUGAAAUGGAAGAAGAUGGUGGAGACUCAGACAGGUCGAAAGGUCAAACGACUUAGAUCAGACAAUGGUACUGAGUACAAGAAUAAUCCAUUUUUACAAGUAUGUCAAGAUGAGGGCAUUGUGCGACACUUCACUGUUUGAGAUACACCACAACAGAAUGGGGUGGCAAAACGUAUGAAUCGGACUAUACUGGAGAAAGUUCGAUGUAUGUUGUCCAAUGCUGGAAUGGGCAAGAAAUUUUGGGCUGAGGCAGUUACAUAUGCAUGCCAUCUAAUUAACCGGUUGCCAUCAGUUGCAAUAAAUGGAAAAACUCCUAUGGAGAGGUGGGCUGGUAAACCUGCUACUGAUUAUAAUUCUUUACAUGUUUUUGAUUCCACUGCAUAUUAUCAUGUAAAAGAAUCUAAGUUAAAACCAAGAGCAAAGAAAAUAUUAUUCAUGGGUAUAACCGGUGGAGUAAAAGGAUAUCGUCUUUGGAGUCCUGAUACAAGAAAGAUUGUUUUUAGUAGAGAUGUGACUUUUGAUGAAUCAACCAUGAUGAAGAACAAGGAUUCACAAAAGGAUAACAAAACCAGUGGCACUUUGCAGCAGGUGGAGCUUGAAAAGGUUAAUAAUGAUCCAGCUAAUAUUGAAGGAACAAAUGAUGAAGAAGUUUCGACCCAAGAACUUCUACAGCAACAUGAUUCAAUUGCAUAUAGGAGGCCAAGAAGAGAGAUUCGUAUGCCUGCUCGCUUUGAUGAUAUGGUGGCCUAUGCACUUUCGAUUGCAGAUGAUGAUGUUCCUUCUACUUACACAGAAGUAAAAAGUAACCCUGAUGGUGUAAAGUGGAAGCAAGCUAUGAAUGAAUAAAUGCAAUCACUUCAUAAAAAUAGGACUUGGGAGUUGGUGACACUACCCAAAGGAAAGAAGGCAAUUGGAUGCAAAUGGGUAUAUGCAAAGAAAGAAGGAUUUCCUGGUAAAAAUGAAGUUCAAUACAAGGCUAGAUUGGUAGCAAAAGGUUACGCUCAAAAAGAAAGAAUAGACUACAAUAAAGUGUUUUCUCCAGUUGUGAAGCAUUCGUCUAUUCGGAUUUUGCUAGCCUUGGUUGCGCAAUAUGAUCUUGAACUAGUUCAGCUCGAUGUGAAGACCGCAUUUUUACACGGUGAUUUGGAAGAGGAAAUCUAUAUGACUCAGCCAGAUGGAUUCAAGGUUGCUGAUAAAGAAAAUAGGGUUUGCAAACUGACAAAGUCGUUUUAUGGAUUGAAACAAUCUCCGAGGCAGUGGUACAAGCGAUUUGAUCAGUUCAUGAAAGGGCAAAGGUACACAAGAAGUAAUUUUGAUCAUUACGAGUAUUUUCAGAAGCUACAAGAAGGAUUUUUCGUAUACUUGCUAUUAUAUGUUGAUGAUAUGUUGAUAGCAUCUAAUAGUAAAGUUGAAAUUGAAAGAUUUAAGACUCAACUCAACCUUGAGUUUGAGAUGAAAGAUCUAGGUGAAGCUAAGAAGAUUCUUGUCAUGGAAAUAUAUAAGGAUAGAGCUCAUGGUAGAGUUAGUUUGUCUCAGAAGCAAUAUUUGAAGAAGGUACUACAGAAGUUUGGAAUAAACGAGCAGACAAAAGCUGUAAGUACCCCGUUGGCUUCUCAUUUCAAGCUUUCUGCACAACUAUCUCCUUCGACGAAUACGGAACAAGAAUACAUGUUACAAGUUUCAUAUUCUAAUGCAGUAGUUAGCUUGAUGUAUGCAAUGGUGUGUACAAGACCUAACAUUUCACAGGCAGUUAGUAUAGUGAAUAGGUAUAUGCAUAAUCCUGAAAAAGGACAUUGGCAAGCUGUGAAAUGGAUUCUGCGGUAUAUUCAAAAUACCAUGGAUAUUGGAUUACUGUUCAAGCAGGAUACUACACUUGGUAAAGGUGUUAUUGGGUACGUUGAUUCUGAUUAUGCCGGUGAUUUGGACAAACUAAGAUCAACAACUGGUUAUGUGUUUACACUUGCUGGAGGACCAAUAAGUUGGAAGUCUACACUACAGUCUACAGUUGCGUUGUCAACCACAGAAGCUGAAUACAUGGCUGUAACAGAGGCUGUAAAGGAAGCUAUUUGGUUACAAUGUAUGGUUAAAACUUUGGAAUUGGUUUAGGAACAUAUUAACGUGUAUUGUGAUAGUCAAAGUGCUAUUCAUUUAGCAAAGAAUCAAGUCUAUCAUGCACGUACAAAGCAUAUCGACGUACGUUUCCAUUUUGUGCGGAAAAUUAUUGAUAAGGGGAAAAUUCACCUUCAGAAGAUUAAGACUGCAGAUAAUCCCGCAGAUAUGAUGACCAAGAUGGUAACAACAAUCAAGUUCAAACAUUGUUUGAACUUGAUCAAUAUUCUGCAUGUUUAACAGUUGAAGAAGGCGCUAUCAAGUGUUGUUGACAAAGAUAGAGAGAAUUGUGUGAAGAUAAGAUUAUUCGAAUCAAAUCUUCAAGAUGAAGAUUAUUAGAAAUCAUCCAUAUUUAUGGAAAGUCAAAGAUAUGGGUAUCAAAUGAAGUCAAAGAUAUGGGUAUCAAAUAAAGUCAAAAAUAUGGGUAUUAAAUAUUAGAAAGUCAAAGAUAUCGGUAUCGAGAUAUUGGCAUAAGAAAUCUGAGAUAUUCGCAAUAUUUGGUCCCUAAUUGUAAAGUGACUUUGCAAGUUGAUCCCUGAACCUCAACUAUAAAUAGGCAUAACCAUCUCUCAUUCUGUAUCCCAUAUUUUGCCAUUCUCUACUUAAGGCAUUGUUCUCUCUCUCUCUCUCUUUGUAAAUUCUCACUUGUAUUUUGGAGUGAAAUAUAUUUGGUAGUGUCCGAGGACGUAGGCAAAAUUUGCUGAACCUCGUUAAAUACUUGUGUUCUUUAUAGUAUUAUUCUGCAUGAAUUGUGAGUGUGAUUGUAGUGAUUUGUUGUGCUAUUAAAUUACGAUUGAGGGAUAUUCUGGCUAGGAAAGACUUGGUACUUAAGCGAUCCUUGUGAUCCACCUCUCUUUCUUGGGAAUUGAACUUAGUUUGAUUUUUUAGUACAAUAAUUUUACUCUUUUACACGCUUCCGCACAACAGUUUUAGAAAGCUAAAGAGUCCUCCUCACCAUCUUCAACUCCCCACUGCCCUUGAAGAGUUGACAUUCAGGGGUUUCAUGAAAUAGAAGCCUUGCCAGACUCGUUCAGAAAUCUCUCUUCCCUAAGGUAUCUGUGUAUCCAUUCAUGCAAUAAGCUCAUGUACCUGCCUUUUGUAGAUGUUAUGCAAAGCCUCUCCAAAUUAAAACGCAAAAACAUUCUAGAUUGUCCUCAAUUAGAGACAAGAUGUGAGCGGGAGAGUGGCCCUAAAUGGUCCAAGAUUUCCCACAUUCCACGUAUAUCUAUUAAUCUUCGGAUGUAAGUUCAGUAAUACCCUUUGUUCUUCUCACCCUCAGCCACUUGAUUUAGUCUCAUAUAAAGCCUUGUUUUAAUUUUUUUUUUUGGCUUUUGUGGCAUAAUGUUGCAGUAUUGUGAUUGGGCAUGGAUACCUUUGAGACUAUCCGUUUGAGAACCAAAUUAUGAAUUGAAUGUGUGGAUACAAAAGUAAGUUGUGGUUCUAUUUCCUUUCCAAGAAAAUUAUGAUAUGAUGCCUUUAGAUUUUGCCUUGAUUAAAAAUUCCAUGGAUAUUAUAAGUCCCUUUUCUCAUAUCUUAUAUUUUUAACUUAAAUUUUGAUAAAGGUUUCAUGGAUAUCAUAUUUUUCUUCUUGUCUUUCCUACAAAAAUAUAUCAUUGCUGCCCUCUCUUACAAACUUCUCAAAUCAUAUUGUGACAUAUUUAAGGUAACUGGUGUAUGACCUUUGAGAAUAACUUCGACUAGCUUUAUUAGGAAAUUUCUUUUCUUUUCAAACUUUUAUUGUUUUGUAUUUGAGAAUCAUAGAUCAUGCAACCAAUAAAGACCAGCUUUGAAUUGCCAUUGUGAUUGGUACUUUUGUGAUUGACAACAAAUUCACCUUUCUUUGGAUUCUAAUCAGAAGCUUGUAUCUUGUCUUGCAUUGCAUUUGUGUCUCAUUUCAAGAACUGAUGUCAAGUUGUGAUCAAUGGAGGAAGUUUCUUGCAAGACUUUGAUUUCCUUCUCAUGCAAUUUAUGACGCUUCAUUCUAUGAUUAUCUUUGCAAUUUACAGACUGGCUUUUGAGUGUUGAUUUGAUAAAGAUUUAGUGAAUAUGGUAAGUCUCUUUCUAUAUAUAGUCAUUUGCAAUGAACAACUAAAUUGAAUAACAUAACUCCAUAAAACAUUCAUUUAGUUUGGAACUACAAGUCUCUUAUAUUUCUUUGUUUAUUCUUUCUUUCUGCUAUUUUAUUGCUUCUAAUUGAAGGACGGAUUUUCAUGUUUUAACCUUUUGUUAAAACCAGUACUGCUUAUGUUCCAUGAAUUUUCCAGUAUCCACUCAUGAACUUUCUGAAUUCUCUUUGGAUAUGAAGGGAGAUGCUGAUAUGGCCGGAGUCAGAGUGAAUUGUUCUCCUUUUCAACAUUGAAGAGCUAUAAUAUAAAAGACAGCUUUGGUUCACCAAUUCAGGGGUUUAUCUGAUGUCUGUCUGAGCUGAUUUUUGGACAAUGGCUAAUAGCCUCGAGGAUUUCGAUUGUGCAAGGUUGGAUUUUUCAUUCGGAUUUGUAUCUUUUGGUUUUUCAUUUUCAAUGUUAGUCAUAUUUGGGUGAUAUCCUCUACUUUCCAGCGAAUAGUUUUGUUGGAGUCGUAUGCUUUUUAUUGUGGUUUUUACCCUCAACCCCUUGCUUCAAGGGGGUUUUCCAUGUAAAAGAUCACAUGUUUUGUUUAAUUGGUUCCUUACGAUUAUUGAGUUUUAUUUUGUGCAAUUAAGUUUACUAUAAAUAUUAAUUGAUAUAAAAAACAGUAUAAGUUUUUAUGCAGAUAGUCUUAAAUUUGUAAAUGCUCCUAAAAAUUUAACUCAUGAGAUCCUGAUUAAAAGUGCUCACAUGAACGGCGGCUUAACAUUUGGAUUGAGUUAUUAUACUGUAUUAAUAUAACUUAUAUUUAUCCAAGUUGGGUUGAAUUCGAAAUAUUAGUCUAAUUUUUUCUAACUCAUUCAUAUUUCUAAAUGCCCCAAGCUCACCCUUAUGUUUAAAGUUUAAACCUCCAUUCACAUAAUGAUUUAUGUUUAAUUAAUUCAUUUGACCUUAUCAAAUAGUAAUACUUCAAGUUUCAACUUGAUUAUUAUAUUUUCUCAAAGGCUUUUUGGAUCCACUAAUUGAGUUUAGCUUAAUUUUGGCUCACUUAAUCAAUUAUUUAUUUCAUGGGUCAGACCAAGAAUUUUGCUGCAAAAUCUUGCACAUCCAAAAUUUUGAUAUUACAAAUCAAAGAAAAUGAUUAAUCCAACUUCCACAAAUGACUAAUUCAAGUUUGAAACUUAUCACACGUAAUUAAAAUGUGGAUUUUCAGUUCUCAACGUAAAUUAUUGUUAUGGGUUGAUUUUAGUUUAAUUAAUUAGUUUAUAGUUUGAAUUUGUUCUAGCUACUAAUUUGUUCUAUAAUAAUUUGGUGAUACAUAUAUAUCAUUUUUCUUGUGUUUUAUUUUGUGUGAGCUUUUAAGUCCCGUGGUUUUUACCCUUUGCUUUAAUAGGUUUUUCAUGUAAAAAAUUACAUAUCUCAUUUAAUUUGUUCCUUACAAUUAUUUUGUUUUAUUUUGAGCUGAUCCAUGAUAUAUUAUACGUUUGCCAUAAUUAUUAAUUAAUAUUUAUUAAGAAUAAAAGAACACCAAUUAUAGAUCUAAACAAUGUUGAAUGUAUUCGAUUUCAUCCCAUCAAAAUUCAAAGAUUGCCCCACAUUUCAGAUUUACAUCUUUGACUGCAUUUUUUGUUAGUUAUAUGAAGUAGCGAUGUUGUUAAAUGUAUAGUAGUAUUGUUGGGAAGAUCACAAAUUUUUUUUACAAUAUUUUGGAUUGUAUAUUAGUCUUUUUAUUGAAAAACGAAUAAAUUAAUCCUUCAAAAAGUUAUAAAAUGAUCACUAAAUUAUUUGAGUUUCCGUUUCAGUUAAUGGGCAAUUAAAUUGUUAUUGUAUGGCAUUAUCUGUUUGCGUUCCUUACACUAAUCAAAAGCUCUCGUUUUUCUUAUUUUUUAUAGUUCAAAUUUUCAUUACAAAUUUACAAAUCAAAAUUCAAACAAUUUUUUAUUUUUUUUAUAUUUUUGACAUUGAUUGUUAGAUUGUAGUUCACUAGCUAAACUUUAAGAAAAAAACUUAACAACCUACUAACUAAAUAAAAACUUUCGAAUAAUUUAGUGAUUUAAAUAAAAACUUUUGAAUAGUUUAAUGGUCAUUUUGUAACUUUAUGAGGUUAGGUAACCAAAAUAUAAACUUAAUAAUAGUUUAGUGACCUUAAGUGUAGUUUACCCUUAAUAUAAUAUUAUGUUAAAUUCAAGUUAAUUUUUACAUAAAAAUCAAGCUUACUCUUAAAAUGUUCUUUUUUUGGAAAACAACUUAUGUUUUUGAAAAGAGGAAUUCGAUUUCUAGAAAAAAAUGAUUUAAUUUUUAUUGACUUGUAUCUCAUUUUUUGUUUAUCAAAUUAUUUUUUAUGAAACAAAUUUGAAAAAUAUAAAAAAAAAAUCUAUAAAUCAUUUUUCAAGAAGUAGAGACAACUUAAAUUUGAAAGGAAACUCAGUAUUAGAGGUGCUCAUGGGCCGGGUUCGUGCCGGGCCCAGAAAAAAUUUUAGCCCGUGUCCUAGGCCUCGGCCCGGCCCGGCCUGAAAUAUGGGUUUGAAUUUUUGUCCAGGCCCGGGGAAAAAAUCCUAAGCCCGAGCCUGGCCCGGCCUAGUCCACUUUUUAAAUAAAUACCAAAAAUUUAUUUUAAAAAUAAAAAAAUUUAAAAAAAUAUUUUAAAAAUAUUUUAAAAUUAAAAAAAAUAAAAAUAUAUUUAUUAUAUUCGGGCCAGGCCCAGGCUCGGGCCAAAAAAGUUGUGCUCGAGGCCAGAUCCGUUUUCUAAACGGGCCUCAUUUUUUUGCCCAAACCCAUAUUUCGGGCCUAUAUUUUUACCCAAAUUCUCCAAUAUUUCGGGCGAGCCGUCGCGCCAACCGGGCCGCCUGGCCCAUGAGCACCUCUACUCAGCAUAUAAUAUUUGCACAAAAUGACACUUAAAACUUGAAAAGUCUCAUUCUUAAUGUCUCUAUCAUACCUUCAGAUAUACAUGGGCCGAACCGAAUCAAGGCUCAACUUAAAAAAAGUCAAACCCGGUUCCAAGCAUCUCAUACCCAAUAAGCCUAUAUUACGGUUUGAAUAAUAAUAUUUUUUAAAACACACUUUUAUAUUAAUAUUUAUAUAUUUUUAUAAUUAAAAAUCAUUUAACUCAAGUUAGAGAGAUCAAGGGUGGGUUUGUAUGGGCGAUUAAGUGCGGUGCAGUACGUUUAGCCUACUUUUUGUCUCACACUACAGUGUUGUUACAGUAUCUAAUCUCACCGCUACCACUGUUUUUACAUUAACCGCAGGUAAACGCACUGCCUAUCCAAACUCACUCCAAGUUAGGGAAACUUUUUUAUCCAAAUUAAAUCAAAGUGAUCAAAUCGGGUGGAUCAUCCAAUUCCUCAACAUGUCUAAUCAUUCAUCAUGAGUCAUGAUUAGAGGUGUUUAUAGGUGAGUUUAGAUAUGAUAUUAACACAUUUUAUACUUACCAAACGUAAUUCAAUUUAAGAAAUGAGUCUAAAAUUUUGCUCAAGUUUACUAAUAUUAAUAAAUUACUAAUUCAAAUCCAUUUUAAGCUUGUACAUAUUAAUUUAAAAAAUAAAAUACAUUUAUAUUAUUUUUAAUUUAAUAUUUAUUAAAAUUAUAUAUAUUCAUCUUAACAUUUUCUAAUGUUUACAUUAUAAUAUUAUUAUUUAUUAUUAUAAAUUUAAUUUUUAUGUAUUAUAAAUUAUAUAAUAUAUGAAAAUAGUAUAAUAUAAAAUAUUAUAAAUCUUUAAAAACAAAUAAAAUUAAAUCGAAUUUUAUAUAUUUAAGUCUGAACUCGAUUUAUAUUUUAAACAAAAUUAAUUAAUUUUAUAAAAUAAAUCUAAUUUUUUUAUUUAAAUCUUCACAAAUUUUAGACAAACUUUUAACGGAUAUAGUCAUGAAUCAAGAGGUACAGUAUUGACAUUUAAAACACGUUGUUGUACAAUCAUAACAAAAGAAAAGGAGUGUUCUAAGACCAUACAUUUUACCAACCACUUGCCUGCCUCUUAAACACAAAAGCUUUAAAGCUGCAAUGAUAUGACAAAACGGGCAUUUAUUUGUUUCUAUCAACUUAACGUACAUGGUAUUAAUAUUUUAGGGUGCACUGAUAUAUGAUUUACAGCAAUGGUCUCAUUCCACAGCAUCUACAUCUGCAUCUGCAUCAUCCAUCUUCUUAUUGGUGAUGAAGCCUAAAACCUGCCAUUGUUGAUAAAUUGAUUUCCCUGUCUGACACCCUGUUUCUUACCCAUGACUGAAGGUCCUCUUUUAUCUCCAACGUAAUUAUUUCAGUCGGCCCCAAUCGCAAUAAUGGUAGGAGAGAGAGACUUUCCAACGCCAUGCAGACCAAACAUGGAAACUGUCUCCACAUUAUCACUCACUCAUAUCCUCUCUAGUUUUUUUUUAAAGGGUUAAUGUGUAAAUUUCUCAGUUCAAAUUGAAAUUUAUACCAUAAUGUUAUAUUUUAAGUUAUAUUUAUCAAUAUAUUUUAAAGCAAAAAAAAAAUUACCACUAUAUUUUAGUUUUAUUCUUAAAAUAUAAUGAUAAAUACUAAUCAAAAUAAUAUAUAGUGACAAAUUUUAAAUGUAUAGUAGUAUUGUUGGGAAGAUGACAAAAUUUUUUGUACAAUAUUUUGGAUUGUAUAUUAGUCUCUUUAUUGAAAAACAAAUAAAUUAAUCCUUCAAAAAGUUAUAAAAUGAUCACUAAACUAUUUGAAUUUCUAUUUCAGUCAAUGUGCAAUUAAAUUGUUAUUGUAUGGUCUUAUCUGUUCGCACUCCUUACACUAAUCAAAAGCUCUCAUUUUCUUUUUUUUUUAUAGUUCAAUUUUUCAUUACAAAUUUGCGAAUCAAAUUUCAAACAAUUUUUUAUUUUUUUAUAUUUUUGACAUUGAUUGUUAGAUUAUAGUUCACUAGCCAAACUUAAAAAAAAAAACUUAACAAUCUAGUGACUUAAAUAAAAACUUUCGAAUAGUUUAAUAACUUAAAUGAAAACUUUUGAAUAGUUUAGUGAUCAUUUUGUAACUUUAUGAAGUUGGGUAACCAAAAUAUAAACUUAAUAAUAGUUUAAUGACCUUGAGUGUAGUUUACCCUUAAUAUAAUAUUAUGUUAGAUUCAAGCUAAUUUUUACAUAAAAAUCAAGUUUACUCUUACAAUGUUCUUUUUUUGGAACACAACUUACGUUUUUCAAAAGGGGAAUUCAAUUUCUAGAAAAAAAUGAUUUAUUUUUUAUUGACUUGUAUCUCAUUUUUUGUUUACCAAAUUAUUUUUUAUGAAACAAAUUUGAAAAAUGUAAAAAAAAUCUGUAAAUAAUUUUUCAUGAAAAUAGAAGCAACUUAAAUUUGAAAAGAAACUCGGCAUAUAAUAUUUACACAAAAUGACACUUAAAACUUGAAAAGUCUCAUUCUUAAUGUCUCUAUCAUACCUAGAGAUGUACAUGGGUCGAACCGGAUCAAGGCUCAACUUAAAAAAAAUGUCAAACCCGGUUCCAAGCAUCUCACACCCAAUAAGCCUAUAUUACGGUUUGAAUAAUAAUAUUUUUUAAAACACACUUUUAUAUUAAUAUUUAUAUGUUUUUAUAAUUAAAAAUUAUUUAACUCAGGUUAGAUAGAUCAAGUUAGGGAAACAUUUUUAUCCAAAUUAAAUCAAACCGAAUUCGGGUGGAUCAUCCAAUUCCUCAACAUGUCUAAUCAUUCAUCAUGAGUCAUGAUUAGAGGUGUUUAUGGGUUGAGUUUAGAUAUUAUAUUAACACACUUUAUACUUACCAAACGUAAUUCAGUUUAAAUUGCUAAUUCAAACGUAAUUUUACUCAAGUUUAUCAAUAUUAAUAAAUUACUAAUUCAAAUCCAUUUUAGGCUUGUACAUGUUAAUUAAAAAAUAAAAUAUAUUUAUAUUAUUUUUAAUUAAUAUUUAUUAAAAUUAUAUAUAUUCAUCUUAACUGUAACAGCCUAAUUUUUAGUGGUGUCGAAAACAGUGAUUCGAGAUCACUAAAUCUGACCAGUGAGUUUUAAAUUUUAAUAAAUAAAUACAUAUGAGUCAAGUAUGAUUAUAGAAGAAUUUUAGAUUAGUGAAUUCUGUGAUUUAAAAAGAAAAUAAUAAGUAAAUUGGGUCUAAAACGAGGUAUUGAAACAUCGAACUCAUAAACCAAGCCAUAAAUAUUUUUAAAAAUAUUUAUAAAGUGUCAUUGAGUUGGGAUUAAAGUUUCGUUAGAAAAUUCUAACGUUUGAAUGGUCAAUUAAUUAAAAAAUACUAAAUUAAGAAUAGUACAAAAUUUAUUAAAUUAUGAUUAAAUAGCUUAAGUGACUAAUAAGGAUGGAUUUAAAAGGCAAUUAGGCCCAAAUUAUAUGGGCUGGACUGUUUGGGCAAGAAAAUCAGCAAGAAAACAAGGAGAAACAAGGGCAAAAUUAGAAAUUUUACAAAUUAAACAUAUAAAACAAAGACAAAAUUGAAAAAUCUAGAUAUUUCUUCAUAAUUCAGCAGCAAAAACACCACAGGAGGUCUGAAACAAGCUGAUUUCUCAUAUUUUUAUACCAUGUGAGUUCAACUCUUGCUUUUCUUUGAAAUUUUUAUGUUUUGUGAUUUUUACAACUAGGUUCAACAAUUGAAUUCAUUAGUUUUUUAUUCCAUGUGUGAUUUUGUAAGUUACCAUGAAUAAGUGAUGGAAGUUUAUGAUGAGUUAUCAUAGAUUUGAAGCUUUAAUUUCAUUAUAUUAUGAUUUUAUUAAGUGAUUUUAGUAGAAAAUGAUUUUUAGGACCUAAUUGUGAAAAAGCUAGGAAUUGGGGUUUUGUACUGAAAUUUUGAAUACUAAAGGCUGUAUAAUAGCCUAAAAUGAUUAGACAAAGUGUUGUUUGAGGACAAAUUUGUUCAAUUGAAGUGUUAAUUGAGUAGGGACUAAAUUGUAAAAACUAUAAAUUUUGGGGUAAACGUAUAAUUUCAAAAAUUGAAGGGUAUAAAUUGCAAAAUGAAUUAGUAUUGAAAUAGAUGCUAAUGAAUGAAAAAAAUAUAUUAUAGAUUGGGAAUCUGAAGAUAAAUAAGAAAAAGAAAAAGUCGCUGAUUAGUUCCUAAAAUAUUACAACUCCUACAAAUUGGCCUAGGUAAGUUCAUACAGCUGAACUUUUAUGAUUAAUUGUAAAUGGGGGAAUGAUAUAAUGUAUUAAUUCGUGUUUUGUAGUUGAAUUAUGAUUAUUAUAAAAAAAAAAGUAAAAAUCAAAAUUUAAGUUCAAAUUAAGGGAUACGCAAGAAUGAGUACGUUUAGUAACCAGUGAUGAAUUAACGAAUAAGUCCAUGGUGGAUCCAUGGUAAAGUGUGGAACGUAGGUAUGGCAUUUCAGUAAAGAAAACCAUACUGAGUUGUGGAACGUAAAUAUGGUAUUAUAGUAAAGAAAACCAUAUUGAGUUGUGGAACGUAGGUAUGAUAUUUCAGUAAAGAAAACCAUACUAAGUUGUGAAAAGUAGGUAUAGUAUUUCAGUGAAGAAAAUCAUACUGAGUUAUAGCAUUGUAAAUGAUUCAAGCAAAUCAUGGCACCGGGCAAACGAAGUACUCAAAUCCAUAAGACGGUCCUUAAUUUGACAAGUAUUUGUAAAUGCAAUUGAAGCUAAAUGUUGGAAAUAAGUUGGUAUCUGAUAUUGAGCUAGAUUGAGUAAAUUCAUUGUUUAAGAUUGUGGUUGGCAAGAAAUAUUGUAUUAUACUUGUUUAUUAUUAUUGUUAGUGAAAUUUUGGUAAGAUUUUAUUAUGAGCCUAUGAACUUACUAAGCUUUCUGUAAGCUUAUAUGCGUGUGUUUAUUGUUUCUUGUAGAUUGACGUAUAUGUGUUCGGAGGAUCAGGUUUACAUCAAGGAUCACACUAUUCAGAUUUACCUCGGUAGAUUUUGUUAAACAACUUUUUAAUUUAUAUGGCAUGCAUAGGGGUUGAAGUAAAAAGUAAUAGUAUGAAUGAUUAAGUAUGCAAAGUAAAUCUGAAUGUGAUGGUUGUGUUAGAUAUUGAAAUAUAUAUGUUUUAGCUUGAAACGGUUGAUUGGUUGGACUUUAUUAGUAUAUAAAUGUGUUUUUGUGUAGGAGGAUAGUAUGAAGGUAAGAAAAGUGGACUUAAAUGGUCUGGUUUUGUGUGUUUGAUUGUGUUUAAGUCUGGUAAUGCCUUGUAUCCUGUUCCAACGUCGGACACGGGUAAAGUGUGUUACAUUAACAUUUUUUAAUGUUUAUAUUAUAAUAUUAUUAUUUACUAUUAUAGAUUUAAUUUUUAUGUAUUAUAAAUUACAUAAUAUAUAAAAAUAAUAGAAUAUAAAAUAUUAUAAAAUUUUAAAAACAAAUAGAAUUAAAUCGAAUAUUAUAUAUUUAAGUUUGAAUUCGAUUUAUAUUUUAAACAAAAUUAAUUAAAUUUAUAAAAUAAAUCUAAAUUUUUUAUUUAAAUCUCCACAAAUUUUAGACAAACUUUCAACGGAUAUAGUCAUGAAUCAAGAGGUAGAGUGAUAGACAUUUAAAACACGUUAUUGUACAAUCAUAACAAAAGAAAAGGAGUGUUCUAAGACCAUAAAUUUUACCAACCACUUGCCUGCCUCUUAAACACAAAAGCUUUAAAGCUGCAAUGAUAUGACAAAACGGGCAUUUAUUUGUUUCUAUCAACUUAACGUACAUGGUAUUAAUAUUUUAGGGUGCACUGAUAUAUGAUUUACAGCAAUGGUCUCAUUCCACAGCAUCUGCAUCUGCAUCUGCAUCUGCAUCAUCCACCUUCUUAUUGGUGAUGAAGCCUAAAACCCGCCAUUGUUGAUAAAUUGAUUUCCCUGUCUGACACCCUGUUUCGUACCCAUGACUGAAGGUCCUCUUUUAUCUCCAACGUAAUUAUUUCAGUCGGCCCCAAUUGCAAUAAUGGUAGGAGAGAGAGACUUUCCAACGCCAUGCAGACCAAACAUGGAAACUGUCUCCACAUUAUCACUCACUCAUAUCCUCUCUAGUUUUUUUUUAAAGGGUUAAUGUGUAAAUUUCGGAGCUCAAAUUGAAAUUUAUACCCUAAUGUUAUAUUUUAAGUUAUAUUUAUCAAUAUACUUUAAAGCAAAAAAAAAAAUUUACCACUAUAUUUUAGUUUUAUUCUUAAAAUAUAAUGAUAAAUACUAAUCAAAAUAAUAUAUAGUGACAAAUUUUAAAUAUACACUAAUAAUAUAAUAAUAAAUUCCCAUUUUAACCCUUUUUUAAGAUUAAUUUUCAAAAAAACAAAUCAAUAAAUUUGAAAAACCUAAUUUUAUGAAUAUCAAAAAUUAAGAUUUAAAUAAUAUAAUAUUAUACAUUGAUACCUUAUUCAAAGGCAUAAGGAAUCUCUAUAAAGUAAAUCGCAUUUCUAUUUUCGGUCUUUAAUUUUUUUUUGUUCAUUUCAUUUUUAAUGUUAUAUGAUCUCAAUUUAAUUCUUUAGAUGUUAAAAGCUAAUGGUUGAAAUAUUCAUCCAUGUUACUACAUGUCAUAAAUAUGAUGCUAUCAUUUAAAAAACCUUUAAAAAUGAAAAAUUACAAAAAAAAUUAUUAAAAUUAUUAAAAUUAUUUAAAAUAGAAAAAUUAUAAAAAUUAUAAAAACUAACAUAAAAAUUUUAACAAGUUUGUUAUUAUUAAGUUUUACAUUCUUCGUGGCCAAAUAAGGUUUUAUAUAUAUAUAUAAACAAUCUAAAAAUAUUAAUUAACUACAAAAUAGUCUAGGUUUUUUAUUGGAAUAUAUUAAAAAAAUAUAAAUAUCGAAAUAGGUUGUCAGAUAGAUUAAUUAUCGAAAUGGUAUGUUUUUUUUAAUGGCGCCUAUCUGACAGGCGCCAAUGAAUUUUUUAUAUUAAUAUUUUUUCUUUUAAUAAAAUAUUAUUUUUUUCCGGAUCAGUAUAUGACCCAUUUUCUAUGAUAUAAUUGUAUCCCUUUUAUCUUGUCGGCAAUAGAUUAAAAUUAAACUUAUUGAUUAAUGUUGGUACCGAGUCAGGUUUAUGUAAUGUAUUUAGAUCAAUUUUUUAAGUUUGGAUUCGGCUCAGCUCAAAAAAUGAAUUUAUUUUUUUGCCCAAAUUUGACUCAAUUUAAUAAAAGUAAAUUCAGGUCUGGCCUAACUCGUUCAUAUUUGAUUUUUUUUAGAUUAGUUUUUAUUUAAAAAUAAAUUUCUAAAAAAUAUAAUACUAAAAAACUUUAAAAUAAAAGUUUUCUAACACAUUAGAAAUACAUUAAAAACUAUUUAUAUUAAAAAUACUAUUAUAAAUAUAAUAAAUAUUUUAUUGUAUUAAAUAUAAUUUUUAAAAUUUUAUAUUUUGGGUUGAGUUACUUAGUUUGGUAAGUUUUUUUUUUAGAUUUUGGGUAAUAGAUUUAAUUGUUAUUGAAUUAGUGAUUUAAUAUAAAUAUAAAUAUAAAUAUAAAUAUUAUUUAACAUAUAUAAUUAAUAUCAUAUUGUUAUAACAUAAUAUACUAGAGUCAAGCCAAGUUCAGACAAAAAAUUAUAUCCAAAUCCCGACUCAUAUAGAAAAUGGGUCAUAUACUGAUCCGGAAAAAAUUAAUAAUAUUUUAUUAAAAGAAAAAAAUUUAAUAUAAAAAAUUCAUUGGCGCCUGUCAGAGAAUCGCCAUUAAAAAGAAAAAAAAUAAUAUAAAAAAUUCAUUAGCUCCUGUCAAAUAGGCACCAUUAAAAAAAAUACCAUUUCGAUAAUUAAUCUAUCUGACAACCUAUUUCGGUAUUUAAUUUUUUUAAUAUAUUCCUAUAAAAACCCAAAUAGUCUUGGAGGAAAAAUUAUAUGCAAAAACGACUCAUUUGUUAUAGUAUUAGUCGGUGCCGUUUAAUCAAUCGGCGAUAUCACUUUCUUUUUUCUCUAAUCCUGAUUAAUCAUCAGUGUUUUAAAAAAAGAUUUUUUUGUACCACCUGACACAAUAGUGGCACUGAACUGAAGUACGAUUAUGUAAAAUGUUUAGAAACCAGAUGAAGUAAUUGCCUGUUUUUGAUUGGUUGGAAAAUAAUUACAAAUAUAAGAUAACAAAAAUAAACUCUUUUCAUUUUUUUAAAAAUAAUAAAAUUAAAAAUAUAUAUAAUAUUCUUAUUUAAAUUAUCCAAAUAUAUCCUUUAAAAAUUUUCUUUAAAUUUAUCUAAAUUUAAAUAUUUUCGUUAAAUUAAAAAUUAUCAAAUAUAAUAUUACUUGAAACCCAAAUACUAGACCAUUUUACCAAUAAAGACCCAUUUCUAACUUUAUUUACGAAAAUAGACCACUUUUUUCAUUAUUUACCGGAAUGAGCUGAAAACACUAAAAUGUGUCCACAAAAUAGUGUUUUAAGGGGAAAUUCUAGCAAAACGUGCCCCUGAGGGAGUAAUUUUGCCAUGUCAGCACAGAAUACACUGACGUGAACGCGCUUUGCUAACGUGGCAAAAUCGCUCCCUCAGGGACGCACUUUAGCCCGUGUUUUUCUAGUGUUAGGGCUAUUUGCAUGUUUAGUGCCUAAAGUUUGUGGGUUUAGGUUUUAGGAUUAUAGUGUUAGUAUUUUGUUAAUAUAAUUUAGGAUUUUAUUUAUUUAAAGUUUAAGAAAUUUUAAAAAUAAAUUAGGGUUAUAUGAAGUAGCGAUGUUGUUAAAUGUAUAGUAGUAUUGUUGGGAAUAUCACAAAAUUUUUUGUACUAUAUUUUGGAUUGUAUAUGAGUCUCUUUAUUGAAAAACAAAUAAAUUAAUUCUUCAAAAAGUUAUAAAAUGAUUACUAAAUUAUUUGAGUUUCCAUUUCAGUCAAUGGGCAAUUAAAUUAUUAUUGUAUAGCCUUAUCUGUUCGCACUCCUUAUACUAAUCGAAAGCUCCCAUUUUCCUUAUUUUUUUUAUAGUUUAAUUUUUCAUUACAAAUUUGCGAAUCAAAAUUCAAACAAAUUUUUUUAUUUUUUCUUAUAUUUUUGACAUUGAUUGUUAGAUUGUAGUUCACUAGUCAAACUUAAAAAAAAAACAACUUAACAAUCUAAUAACUUAAAUAAAAACUUUCGAAUAGUUUAGAAACUUAAAUGAAAACUUUUGAAUAGUUUAGUGAUCAUUUUGUAACUUUAUGAAGUUGGGUAACCAAAAUAUAAACUUAAUAAUAGUUUAAUGACAUUGAGUGUAGUUUACUCUUAAUAUAAUAUUAUGUUAGAUUCAAGUUAAUAUAAUAUUACUCUUUAAAUGUUCUUUUUUUGGAAAACAACUUAUGUUUUUCAAAAGAGGAAUUCGAUUCGUAGAAAAAAAUGAUUUAUUUUUUAUUGACUUGUAUCUCAUUUUUGUUUAUUAAAUUAUUUUUUAUGAAAAAAAUUUGAAAAAUGUAAAAAAAAAUAAAUCUAUAAAUCAUUUUUCAUGAAGUAGAAACAACUUAAAUUUGAAAGGAAACUUAGCAUAUAAUAUUUACACAAAAUGACACUUAAAACUUGAAAAGUUUCAUUCUUAAUGUCUUUAUAAUACCUAGAGAUAUACAUGGGUCGAACCAGAUCAAGGCUCAACUUAAAAAAAAUGUCAAACCCGGUUCCAAGCAUCUCACACCCAAUAAGCCUACAUUAUUGUUUGAAUAAUAGUACUUUUUAAAACAGACUUUUAGGGUAAGAGAUUAUGGAUGGUGUAGAGGUUGUCGUUGAUGAAUCAAAUGUGACCUAAGUGGGGAAUUUUUUUUUUCUUUAUUCUUCUUUUUCUACCACUGCAAGUUAAUGGGGGAUGCUAUAGAGACUACCGUUUCCACUUGGGAUGCCAACAUGGCAAGUUAAUUGGCUACCUCAGCUUUCUGUUAUGUCUAUAACGGUAGUAACCGAUUUGUCAUUUUUUUAAAGUUGAGCGACUGAAUUGAACCACAGUGACUGUUUUACCAGCUACAUCAAAGUUGAGUGACUGUUGGUGUAAUUUACCCUUAAAUUAAUUACUCAUUAUAGAUUUGUUGAAUCAAAUAUAUUUUCUUAUUAAUUCUACUACAGUAAUGUUUUUAUGAUUUUAGUAGUAGUAGAAUUGAGUUUAGAAACUAAUUUAAUUAAUUAAUUAAUAUUUAUUUAUUUUGGAAAAUAAAAAUAAUUAUUGGAUUGGAUUAAAUUAUAAAGUGUUAGGCCAAAAGUUAAAUAAACACAUAUAAUUAAACCCAAUACAUAAUAGGCCUAUCUAAACCCAUAUGUGAACACAAGGGGCGACAACCCUAAUAAAAUUAACAAGGUGUGUCACGCCUCCUUGCUCUAAUUAGAGUGGGAGCAUAUUUUUAUUUAAAUAACAUUAUUUGUUAAGGGCUUGUUCAACUAGGGUUCUUGUACCUCUCUUGUAAAUAGAUAGCAUCAGUUGACUUAAAAACACACUUCAUAAAUUAUCUAGUUAUCAUUAUUUUGCUAGAAAGUAGUGAGAAUUUAUUUACUUAAAAUAAAUUUUAUUUUCGGAGAAUUUCGAUAUAUACCAAUUUUUAUGGAGAGAACUAACUUUCCAACUGGAAGUAAGUAAAUCAUUUUAUUUUCUAUUAUUUGGUUCGUGUUACUCAAACUCAUACUCGAUGUAAUUUGUGGAACAAGGAUAGCAGAGAAUGUCAUUUAGUUGAAAGCCGGGAUCGACAUGAAUCUUCUUUCACAAUGCACAUGUAUGAUAGGAUCGACAUGGGUCGAACUUAGGCAUGAUAUUAACACGUUUUGUACUUGCCUAAGCGCAAUCCAACUCAAAAUAUGAGCCUAAAAUUUUAUUCAAAUUUACUAAUAUUUAUAAAUUGAUAACUCAAGCUCAUUUUAGACUUAUCCAUUUUAUUUUUAAAUAAAUUAAAAUUUAUUUAUAUUAAUUUUAAUUUAAUAUUUAUUAAAAUUUAAUAUUUAAUCAUAUUAAUAUUCUUUUUAUUUAUAUUAUAAUUAUAUUAUUUACAAUUAUAAUAAAUUUAAUUUUAUAUAACUCGGUUGAUAUUUUAAGCGAAAUAAAUGUUAGAGAAACUUUGAUCAGAGAUGACAUUUAAAAGACACUGCAGUAUGAUAACAAAAGAGAAGGUGGACUGUUCUAAGACCAUACAUUUUGCCUACCACUUACCUGCCACUUGAACACUAAAGCUUCAAAGCUGCAAUGAUAUGACAACACGACACGGCCAUUGAUAUAUGAUAAAAAUAUAAUUUUUAUUUUAAUCUUAUUAUUAUAUUUGAAGAUAAUACUAUAAACUACACAAGAAAUUUUAAAAAAUCCCAAAAUAAUGUCAUACAUUUAGUACACAAAACUCACUUCAAUUAAUUUUACCGAAGCAACUCAUCUUUCAUUUCUUCUCUCCAUUUCGAUUCCUGGACUCGGUAUCUUGUUGCUUUAAUUUUCUGGGUUAGAAAUCUCUUCUUUUCUUCUUUAUUUUCAAUGAUAUUUUUUUUCAAGUUAUUUCCUAACAUUUCAAACCUUUCAGAUGGCAGGAGCAAUGAUGGCAGAAGUUCUUUUGGGUGCUAUUUUGAAUGAAGCGGUGUCUAAAGCGAAUUCAAUUGCCACUAACCAAAUCAGCCGUAUAUCGAAUUUCAAGAAGGAGCUGAGAAGACUGGGCGACUCACUAGAAAUAAUGGAAGCUUUUUUGCAAGAUGCAGAGGAAAUGCAAACAAAGAAGGAAGCAGUGAAGCUUUGGUUGCAGAGGCUCAAAGAUGUUGCUGAUGAGGCUGCUGAUGUCCUUGAUGAGUUUGACUAUGAAAUUCUCCGAAGGAAACUGAAGAUUCGGAGCCAAAUUCGAAGGAAGGUAGUCGACUUCCUUUCUUCUGACAAUUCCAUUUUAUUUCGUCUCAAGAUGGCUAAAAAAAUUAAGGACAUCCUUGAAACACUGGAUGGCCUUAACAAACAGGCCAACGAAUUUGGUCUUCAGCAGAGAGCUACAGAACAUGUGUCUCCUAGAAGAUCAAAUGUGGAGACGUUCUCUGUCAUGGAUGACUCGCCCAUUGUUGGAAGGGAAAAUGAUGUCUCAAAGGUGGUUGACCUGUUAGUCAAUCCUAAAGAUGAGCAGGUUGUUUCUGUUGUACCUAUAGUAGGUAUGGCAGGUCUUGGCAAAACUGCAUUGGCAAAGCUGGUGUAUAAUGAUCUGCGUGUGAAAAGGCAUUUUGAUGUCAAAUCCUGGGUCUGUGUUUCUGAUCAUUUUGAUGUCAAAAAGAUUUUAGGGGCGAUGUUUGAACAGCUUACUGGUGAUAGCCGUACCUCAAUGCCAGAAAAUAUGGAUGCAAUGAUUAUGAAGCUCAAGAAGAAGAUUGAACAGGCCAAAGGAGAAAAAGAUCAGAUCAAGUAUCUUAUUGUACUUGAUGAUGUGUGGGAUGUUAAGAAAUGGGAGGAUCUAAAGCUUUGUCUGAAAGGAAUCAGUACAAAUGGCGGGAAUGGAGUUAUUGUGACAACACGCAAAGAAGAUGUAGGAUCAACAGUGCAAGCACUUUCGAAUCAAAGGCAUCACCCAGGAAGACUAGAAGAUGAAGAAUGCUGGUCCGUAAUUGAACAACUAGCAUUGACACCCUUUCCAAUGUCUCACGAAUUAGAGCUUAUUGGAAAGGAGAUUGCUAUGCAGUGUCGAGGUCUGCCAUUGUUAGCUAAAGUUAUUGGAGGGACAAUGCGCAAAGAAAGGAGCCACGGCACAUGGUUGGAAAUUCAAGAAAGUGGAGUAUGGGGUUCAGCGGACAGUGAGUUAGUGGAAAGUGUGUUAAAAUUAAGUUUUGAUCGCUUGCCUUCUCCAUCUUUGAAGAAGUGUUUUGCGUACUGUGCCAUGUUUCCGAAAGAUUAUUGCUUUGAAACAGAGGAAUUGAAGCAACUGUGGAUGGCUGAAGGAUUUCUUGGCAGCCCUAUGGCAAUGGUGGAUAUUGGUGACAAAUACUUGAAUGAGUUGUUAUCAAAUUCCUUAUUUCAAGAUGUCGAGAAGGACAAAUUCGGGAAUAUUCUCACAUUCAAGAUGCACGACUCGGUGCAUGAUCUAUCUUUGUCUGUGUCAAAGUUUGAUACUUUGUUUUUUCAAGAGAAAUCCAGUCUCACCUCAAAAGAGUGUUCUCAUAUUCGUCAUCUCAAUGUUGGGUGCGAUGGGGAAUCAUUACCAGAAAUUUUAACAGCGGUUGCUCCGAAAUUAUACUCGUUGUUUUCAGAGAUUGAUGUGUUCAAGAAACUAUCAAAAAGCUUCACAAGAUUAAGAGUCCUAAAGUUUGUUGGCGCUGCUAAUAUUUGUGAGUUGCCAGAUCCCCUUGGAGAAUUGAAGCACUUGAGGUAUUUGGAUGUCUCAAGGACUUCUAUCAAAGCACUGCCGAAGUCCGCAACCAAACUUUACAAUCUGCAAACAUUGAGGCUCUUGGGUUUACUGAGACUCACACUUCCAGAUGGAUUGGAAAUUUUGACAAGCUUGAAGCACUUGUAUUUUGGUAAAAAAGAACAUCAACUAGUUAAUAUUGGAAACCUAACUUGUCUUCAAACAUUACCCAUAUUUUUUGUGGGAUCAGAAAGGGGGCAUUCGAUUAAGGAGUUAGGAUCCCUAGACGAACUGCGUGGAGAAUUGAAGAUAUGCCAUCUUGAGGGUGUUAGAGACGAACAAGAGGCUAAAGGAGCAAAUCUGCACCGUAAAGAAAAAUUAUUCAAGGUGAUAUUUGAUUUUGGACGGUGUGAUAGUGGGAGUAGUGGUUAUAACAGUGAGGAAGUGAUGGAAGGUCUCCAACCACACUCAAAGUUGCAAAGCUUAACUGUUUCGCUUUACAGAGGUGAAAGCUUUCCCUCGUGGAUGUUAAGACCUGUUGGUGAUUCUAAUACUAAUCUGUUUUUGCUUAACAAUUUGAUGGAGCUGAAGUUUUUCUAUUGCAAGAACUGUGAAAGUCUUCCACCUCUGGGCCAAUUGCACAAUCUCCAGUAUCUUGAGUUGAUAAAGCUGACGAAAGUGAAACGCAUGGGUAAUGAAUUUUAUUGCAACGAAAGUGUUGAUGGUAUGAAUAAGGUGAUCAAGGUGUUUCCUGCAUUGAAAAAAUUCACCUUAAGGUUUAUGGACAGUCUAGAAGAAUGGACAGGAAUGGCGGAAACAAAGAUGAUCAUGUUUCCUUGCUUGGAGCGGCUGGAGAUUACGAGGUGUCCCUUGUUGAAAAGUGUUCCACUAACGGGACAAUGCUCAUCUCUUCAAAAGCUUCACAUUUCCAGUUGUGAAAAAUUAAGCAAGAUUGGAGAUGGAUUAUCUACCUCCACUUGUCUCAAAAAAUUACAUCUAGGCAAUUGUCCUGAUUUAAGUUCGAUCCCAAAUUUGGAAGGAUUUUCCUCUCUUCAAGAUCUGUCAGUUUGUGGGUGCCUCAAAUUGGAAGUUCUUCCAAUAACUGGAGGAUGUUCAUCUCUUGAAGAGCUGGAGAUUACGAGGUGUCCCUUGUUGAAAAGUGUUCCACUAACGGGACAAUGCUCAUCUCUUCAAAAGCUUCACAUUUGGGAUUGUGAAAAAUUAAGCAAGAUUGGAGAUGGAUUAUCUACCUCCACUUGUCUCAAAAAAUUACAUCUAGGCAAUUGUCCUGAUUUAAGUUCGAUCCCAAAUUUGGAAGGAUUUUCCUCUCUUCAAGAUCUGUCAGUUUGGGGGUGCCUCAAAUUGGAAGUUCUUCCAAUAACGGGACAAUGUUAUUCUCUUGAAAAGCUUCGCAUUUGCGAUUGUGAAAAAUUAAGCAAGAUUGGAGAUGGAUUAUCUACCUCCACUUGUCUCAAAAAAUUAAAUCUAAUCAUUUGUCCUGAUUUAAGUUCGAUCCCAAAUUUGGAAGGAUUUUCCUCUCUUCAAUAUCUGUCAGUUCGAUGUUGCAAGAAAUUGGAAGUUCUUCCAAUAACCGGAGGAUGUUCAUCUCUUGAAAAGCUUCGCAUUUCCAGUUGUGAAAAAUUAAGCAAGAUUGGAGAUGGAUUAUCUACCUCCACUUGUCUCAAAAAAUUAGAUCUAGUAGAUUGUCCUGAUUUAAGUUCGAUCCCAAAUUUGGAAGGAUUUUCCUCUCUUCAAGAUCUGUCAGUUUGGAGGUGCCUCAAAUUGGAAGUUCUUCCAAUAACCGGAGGAUGUUCAUCUCUUGAAGAGCUUUCCAUUUACAGUUGUGAAAAAUUAAGCAAGAUUGGAGAUGGAUUAUCUACCUCCACUUGUCUCAAAAAAUUAAAUCUAGCAGAUUGUCCUGAUUUAAGUUCGAUCCCAAAUUUGGAAGGAUUUUCCUCUCUUCAAUAUCUGUCAGUUCGAAGGUGCGACAAAUUGGAAGUUCUUCCAAUAACAGCACCACUGUCAUCGCUUAAAAAAAUGUUGAUAGGUGAUUGCCCUAAUUUGAGGCCCAUUCCAAGUUUAGAUGGACUCUCUUCUCUCACAGAAUUAGAAAUUGGGAAAGUAGGCGAAGGAUGGAGUCGUCUGCUACCAAAUAUGUUGCAAUCCAACGUUUCCCUUUGCAGUCUAACAAUAUUAAAUAUUCCUGAUCUGAUAUGGAUUCAAGAUGACAGCCUUGGUAGGCUUAACUGCUUGAGAGAAUUAGCUAUCGGUGGUUUCUCAGAAAAGCUACAAGAAUUCCCGGGGUCCAGUUCCAUUCGAUAUCUGAGUGCCUCCCUUCUAGUUCUAAAACUGACUGGUUGGGAAAAGCUAAAGAGUCUUCCUCACCAACUUCAGUUCUUGACUGCCCUCGAAGAAUUGACGAUAGAAGGGUUUCAAGGAGUAGAAGCCUUUCCAGAGUGGUUGGGAAAUCUCUCUUCUCUGAAGCGUCUAUAUUUGAGUGGUUUUGGAAAGCUAAAGAGUCUUCCUCACCAACUUCAUCUCCCCAGUACCCUUGAAGAGUUGACUAUUGACAAUUUUCAUGAAAUAGAAGCCUUGCCAGACUCGUUCAGAAAUCUCUCUUCUCUAGGGUGUCUGAGUAUCCAGUUCUGUGAUAAGCUCAUGUACUUGCCUUCUGUAGAUGUUAUGCGAAGCCUCUCCAAAUUAAUAAGAAUGAACAUUAAAGGGUGUCCUCUAUUAGAGACAAGAUGUGAGCGGGAGAGUGGCCCUGAAUGGUCCAAGAUUUCCCACAUUCCACAUGUAUAUAUUAAUCAUCGGAGGUAAGUUCAGUUACUUGAACCACAACUCUGCAUCUUUUGGCUUUUGAUAUAAAAUAUACUAAUCCUCUCUUGAUACUUUUUAUAGUUAUACCGUUUGUUCUUCUCAUCCUAAGUUACUUGAUUUUGUCUCAUAUAAAUCCUUCUUUUAAAAUUUUUUUGGCUUUUGUGGCAUAAUGUUGCAGGACUAAUUGGGGCAUCAAAUCUGUUAGAAAAUGGACUGCAAAGCAACAAACAAGUUGAUAUGCAACUUGGUUUCAUAAUGAUAGCUAUAAUGCUUUCAUCUUUUGCUUUCAUAAUGAUAGCCAAAUUUGGUGGAGUAGGUAGUAUUUGGUGAUGUAUUUGACUAUAAAUGUAUUGUUUUUCUAGUUGAAUGAAUGAGCUGAAUGAGCUAUCAGCCAUUAGCUCCCUUGCAGCACGUUUGUGAGCAAGUAAAUUGUUUUUGUUUCUUCCUCCUUUGUUCUUUGUCUUGUUUUCUUUCUUUUUGCUGCUGCCAAUGUAGGAUCAACAGUGCAAGCACUUUCGAAUCAAAGGCAUCACCCAGGAAGACUAGAAGAUGAAGAAUGCUGGUCCGUAAUUGAACAACUAGCAUUGACACCCUUUCCAAUGUCUCACGAAUUAGAGCUUAUUGGAAAGGAGAUUGCUAUGCAGUGUCGAGGUCUGCCAUUGUUAGCUAAAGUUAUUGGAGGGACAAUGCGCAAAGAAAGGAGCCACGGCACAUGGUUGGAAAUUCAAGAAAGUGGAGUAUGGGGUUCAGCGGACAGUGAGUCAGUGGAAAGUGUGUUAAAAUUAAGUUUUGAUCGCUUGCCUUCUCCAUCUUUGAAGAAGUGUUUUGCGUACUGUGCCAUGUUUCCGAAAGAUUAUUGCUUUGAAACAGAGGAAUUGAAGCAACUGUGGAUGGCUGAAGGAUUUCUUGGCAGCCCUAUGGCAAUGGUGGAUAUUGGUGACAAAUACUUGAAUGAGUUGUUAUCAAAUUCCUUAUUUCAAGAUGUCGAGAAGGACAAAUUCGGGAAUAUUCUCACAUUCAAGAUGCACGACUCGGUGCAUGAUCUAUCUUUGUCUGUGUCAAAGUUUGAUACUUUGUUUUUUCAAGAGAAAUCCAGUCUCACCUCAAAAGAGUGUUCUCAUAUUCGUCAUCUCAAUGUUGGGUGCGAUGGGGAAUCAUUACCAGAAAUUUUAACAGCGGUUGCUCCGAAAUUAUACUCGUUGUUUUCAGAGAUUGAUGUGUUCAAGAAACUAUCAAAAAGCUUCACAAGAUUAAGAGUCCUAAAGUUUGUUGGCGCUGCUAAUAUUUGUGAGUUGCCAGAUUCCCUUGGAGAAUUGAAGCACUUGAGGUAUUUGGAUGUCUCAAGGACUUCUAUCAAAGCACUGCUGAAGUCCGCAACCAAACUUUACAAUCUGCAAACAUUGAGGCUCUUGGGUUUACUGAGACUCACACUUCCAGAUGGAUUGGAAAUUUUGACAAGCUUGAAGCACUUGUAUUUUGAUAAAAAAGAACAUCAACUAGUUAAUAUUGGAAACCUAACUUGUCUUCAAACAUUACCCAUAUUUUUUGUGGGAUCAGAAAGGGGGCAUUCGAUUAAGGAGUUAGGAUCCCUAGACGAACUGCGUGGAGAAUUGAAGAUAUGCGAUCUUGAGGGUGUUAGAGACGAACAAGAGGCUAAAGGAGCAAAUCUGCACCGUAAAGAAAAAUUAUUCAAGGUGAUAUUUGAUUUUGGACGGUGUGAUCAAAAAUUAUUCAAGGUGAUAUUUGAUUUUGGACGGUGUGAUAGUGGGAGUAGUGGUUAUAACAGUGAGGAAGUGAUGGAAGGUCUCCAACCACACUCAAAGUUGCAAAGCUUAACUGUUUCGCUUUACAGAGGUGAAAGCUUUCCCUCGUGGAUGUUAAGACCUGUUGGUGAUUCUAAUACUGAUUUGUUUUUGCUUAACAAUUUGAUGGAGCUGAAGUUUUUCUAUUGCAAGAACUGUGAAAGUCUUCCACCUCUGGGCCAAUUGCACAAUCUCCAGUAUCUUGAGUUGAUAAUGCUGACGAAAGUGAAACGCAUGGAUAAUGAAUUUUAUUGCAACGAAAGUGUUGAUGGUAUGAAUAAGGUGAUCAAGGUGUUUCCUGCAUUGAAAAAAUUCACCUUAUGGUUUAUGGACAGUCUAGAAGAAUGGACAGGAAUGGCGGAAACAAAGAUGAUCAUGUUUCCUUGCUUGGAGCGGCUGGAGAUUACGACGUGUCCCUUGUUGAAAAGUGUUCCACUAACGGGACAAUGUUCAUCUCUUGAAAAGCUUCGCAUUUGCGAUUGUGAAAAAUUAAGCAAGAUUGGAGAUGGAUUAUCUACCUCCACUUGUCUCAAAGAAUUAGAUCUAGCAGAUUGUCCUGUUUUAAGUUCGAUCCCAAAUUUGGAAGGAUUUUCCUCUCUUCAAUAUCUGUCAGUUCGAUGUUGCAAGAAAUUGGAAGUUCUUCCAAUAACUGGAGGAUGUUCAUCUCUUGAAAAGCUUCGCAUUUGCGAUUGUGAAAAAUUAAGCAAGAUUGGAGAUGGAUUAUCUACCUCCACUUGUCUCAAAGAAUUAGAUCUAGCAGAUUGUCCUGAUUUAAGUUCGAUCCCAAAUUUGGAAGGAUUUUCCUCUCUUCAAUAUCUGUCAGUUCGAUGUUGCAAGAAAUUGGAAGUUCUUCCAAUAACCGGAGGAUGUUCAUCUCUUGAAAAGCUUCGCAUUUACGAUUGUGAAAAAUUAAGCAAGAUUGGAGAUGUAUUAUCUACCUCCACUUGUCUCAAAGAAUUAGAUCUAGUCAAUUGUCCUGAUUUAAGUUCGAUCCCAAAUUUGGAAGGAUUUUCCUCUCUUCAAGAUCUGUCAGUUUGGAGGUGCCUCAAAUUGGAAGUUCUUCCAAUAACCGGAGGAUGUUCAUCUCUUGAAGAGCUUUCCAUUUACAGUUAGUGAAAAAUUAAGCAAGAUUGGAGAUGGAUUAUCUACCUCCACUUGUCUCAAAGAAUUAGAUCUAGCAGAUUGUCCUGAUUUAAGUUCGAUCCCAAAUUUGGAAGGAUUUUCCUCUCUUCAAUAUCUGUCAGUUCCAUGUUGCAAGAAAUUGGAAGUUCUUCCAAUAACCGGAGGAUGUUCAUCUCUUGAAAAGCUUCGCAUUUGCGAUUGUGAAAAAUUAAGCAAGAUUGGAGAUGGAUUAUCUACCUCCACUUGUCUCGAAGAAUUACAUCUAGCAGAUUGUCCUGAUUUAAGUUCGAUCCCAAAUUUGGAAGGAUUUUCCUCUCUUUAAUAUCUGUCAGUUCGAUGUUGCAAGAAAUUGGAAGUUCUUCCAAUAACCGGAGGAUGUUCAUCUCUUGAAAAGCUUCGCAUUUGCGAUUGUGAAAAAUUAAGCAAGAUUGGAGAUGGAUUAUCUACCUCCACUUGUCUCAAAGAAUUAGAUCUAGCAGAUUGUCCUGAUUUAAGUUCGAUCCCAAAUUUGGAAGGAUUUUCCUCUCUUCAAUAUCUGUCAGUUCGAUGUUGCAAGAAAUUGGAAGUUCUUCCAAUAACCGGAGGAUGUUCAUCUCUUGAAAAGCUUCGCAUUUACGAUUGUGAAAAAUUAAGCAAGAUUGGAGAUGGAUUAUCUACCUCCACUUGUCUCAAAGAAUUAGAUCUAGUAGAUUGUCCUGAUUUAAGUUCGAUCCCAAAUUUGGAAGGAUUUUCCUCUCUUCAAUAUCUGUCAGUUCGAUGGUGCGACAAAUUGGAAGUUCUUCCAAUAACAGCACCACUGUCAUCGCUUAAAAAAAUGUUGAUAGGUGAUUGCCCUAAUUUGAGGCCCAUUCCAAGUUUAGAUGGACCCUCUUCUCUCACAGAAUUAGAAAUUGAGAAAGUAGGCGAAGGAUGGAGUCGUCUGCUACCAAAUAUGUUGCAAUCCAACGUUUCCCUUUGCAGUCUAACAAUAUUAAAUAUUCCUGAUCUGAUAUGGAUUCAAGAUGACAGCCUUGGUAGGCUUAACUGCUUGAGAGAAUUAGCUAUCGGUGGUUUCUCAGAAAAGCUACAAGAAUUCCCGGGGUCCAGUUCCAUUCGAUAUCUGAGUGCCUCCCUUCUAGUUCUAAAACUGACUGGUUGGGAAAAGCUAAAGAGUCUUCCUCACCAACUUCAGUUCUUGACUGCCCUCGAAGAAUUGACGAUAGAAGGGUUUCAAGGAGUAGAAGCCUUUCCAGAGUGGUUG
rnacentral:lncRNA from 1 species